rnacentral:rRNA from 1 species
AUUGAACGCUGGCGGCAGGCCUAACACAUGCAAGUCGAGCGGAUGAAGGGAGCUUGCUCCUGGAUUCAGCGGCGGACGGGUGAGUAAUGCCUAGGAAUCUGCCUGGUAGUGGGGGAUAACGUCCGGAAACGGGCGCUAAUACCGCAUACGUCCUGAGGGAGAAAGUGGGGGAUCUUCGGACCUCACGCUAUCAGAUGAGCCUAGGUCGGAUUAGCUAGUUGGUGGGGUAAAGGCCUACCAAGGCGACGAUCCGUAACUGGUCUGAGAGGAUGACCAGUCACACUGGAACUGAGACACGGUCCAGACUCCUACGGGAAGCAGCAGUGGGGAAUAUUGGGCGAUGGGCGAAAGCCUGAUCCAGCCAUACCGCGUGUGUGAAGAAGGUCUUAUGAUUGGAAAGCACUUUAAGUUGGAAGAAAGGGCAGUAAGUUAAUACCUUGCUGUUUUGACGGUACCAACAGAAUAAGCACCGGCUAACUUCGUG